AUGCAUAAGCUCGUAAACGUUCAUUAUUUGGACAAGUCGACUUUUAUGCUUGGAAAUGACGAUGAAGGGGAAGAGGCUAUGGUUUUUGACACAAGUCCAAGCUUUGAUGAUCUUGUAGUUCAAGUGAGAAGCGUCCUACAUUGGAAUGACCCAAAUGCCGAGGUUAAGCUUAUUGGGAGGUAUGACGUUGGAUUGAGAGUAAAGUCCCGAUUAAAGAGUAUGCCCAUCACCUCCCAAUUGCAUUGGAAUGUGUACAAGGAAAAAUUAGACGCAUCACAAGACAAGUCUCUUGAGAUCUUUGCCACAAAGGUUGAUCCUCCUCCUCCUUUGCAAAUUGAUCUCAACCGCAAUGCAUCCUCCACCAUGCAUGAUGAUAGUGCCGAGGUGUAUGCCCCCAAUUCUUCUAGCCAACCACCAAGUAGCCAACCC
rnacentral:rRNA from 1 species